CGCGUAGGCGGGAUGGCAAGUCAGAUGUGAAAUCCAUGGGCUCAACCCAUGAACUGCAUUUGAAACUGUCGUUCUUGAGUAUCGGAGAGGCAAGCGGAAUUCCUAGUGUAGCGGUGAAAUGCGUAGAUAUUAGGAGGAACACCAGUGGCGAAGGCGGCUUGCUGGACGACAACUGACGCUGAGGCGCGAAAGCGUGGGGAUCAAACA
rnacentral:rRNA from 1 species